GAAAUAUUAGUGGCGCAGCGGAAGCGCGCCGGGCUCAUAACCCGGAGGUCAAUGGAUCGAAACCAUUCUCAGCUACA
rnacentral:tRNA from 1 species